GAUGAACGCUGGCGGCGUGCCUAAUACAUGCAAGUCGAGCGAACGGACGAGAAGCUUGCUUUUCUGAUGUUAGCGGCGGACGGGUGAGUAACACGUGGAUAACCUACCUAUAAGACUGGGAUAACUUCGGGAAACCGGAGCUAAUACCGGAUAAUAUUUUGAACCGCAUGGUUCAAAAGUGAAAGACGGUCUUGCUGUCACUUAUAGAUGGAUCCGCGCUGCAUUAGCUAGUUGGUAAGGUAACGGCUCACCAAGGCAACGAUGCAUAGCCGACCUGAGAGGGUGAUCAGCCACACUGGAACUGAGACACGGUCCAGACUCCUACGGGAGGCAGCAGUAGGGAAUAUUCCGCAAUGGGCGCAAGCCUGAUGGAGCAAUGCCGCGUGAGUGAUGAAGGUCUUCGGAUCGUAAAACUCUGUUAUUAGGGAAGAAAAUAUGCGUAAGUAACUGUGGACAUCUUGACGGUACCUAAACAGAAAGCCCCGGCUAACUACGUG
rnacentral:rRNA from 1 species